UUUUGAAAGACUCUUAGUUUCUUU
rnacentral:snRNA from 1 species